GCUGCUCAGGUGUACUUUCAUUAAGCAGAUUAUAAUUUUUUUAGAUGGAUAAAUAAUCAAAUGCAAGAAGGCUUCCUUAAAGAAGUGGAAGUCUUGCCUAAAUGGAGAUGAUAAAAGAGCACAAAUUCCAGAAAAACAAAUGUAUGCAGGUUGACAACACAGCAAGGGGGAAAACGAUUUCAAAGCUAAAAACGUGUGUUAAAGCAAGAUGCUUCAGAUGCAAGAAACAUUAAGCAAGAUCAUUGAACCAUUUGAUGACAACAGUGUGAAAGGAUUAAUGAAGGUGGGAUAAUAUUGUGGAGAAGUUGAAUGAAUCACUUCCAUCUUUAGUGUGGCGUACACACGGUCACGUACAUUUAUCUGCAAGAAUUAAGGUAGACUCCUAUUAAAACCAAGUGUGAAUUUAUGCAAACACCUACCUUUGGUGCUUAUUUGCGUGGGUGCAUGUACUGGAUGCAUGAAACGUGUGGUCAAGAACUGGAAAUACUAUUGGCG